GUGGACUGUAGCUCAGUGGGAGAACAGUUGCUUUGCAUGCAGAAGGUCCUGGUUCAAUCCCCAAUGGCAUCUGCA